rnacentral:rRNA from 1 species
UACGUAGGUGGCAAGCGUUGUCCGGAUUUAUUGGGCGUAAAGCGAGCGCAGGCGGUUCCUUAAGUCUGAUGUGAAAGCCCACGGCUCAACCGUGGAAGGUCAUUGGAAACUGGGGAACUUGAGUGCAGAAGAGGAGAGUGGAAUUCCAUGUGUAGCGGUGAAAUGUGUAGAUAUAUGGAGGAACACCAGUGGCGAAGGCGACUCUCUGGUCUGUAACUGACGCUGAGGCUCGAAAGCGUGGGGAGCAAACAGGAUUAGAUA